rnacentral:rRNA from 1 species
CGGGGGGGCAAGCGUUGUUCGGAAUUACUGGGCGUAAAGGGCGCGUAGGCGGCCUGCUAAGUCACACGUGAAAUCCCUCGGCUCAACCGGGGAACUGCGUGUGAUACUGGCGGGCUUGAAUUCGGGAGAGGGAUGUGGAAUUCCAGGUGUAGCGGUGAAAUGCGUAGAUAUCUGGAGGAACACCGGUGGCGAAGGCGGCAUCCUGGACCGAGAUUGACGCUGAGGCGCGAAAGCUAGGGGAGCAAACGGGAUUAGAUACCCCGGUAGUCCUAGCCCUAAACGAUGAGUGCUUGGUGUGGCGGGUAUCGAUCCCUGCCGUGCCGAAGCUAACGCAUUAAGCACUCCGCCUGGGGAGUACGGUCGCAAGGCUG